UACGGAGGGGACUAGCGUUGUUCGGAAUUACUGGGCGUAAAGCGCACGUAGGCGGAUUUGUAAGUCAGGGGUGAAAUCCCGGGGCUCAACCUCGGAACUGCCUUUGAUACUGCAAAUCUCGAGUCCGGAAGAGGUGAGUGGAAUUCCUAGUGUAGAGGUGAAAAUUCGUAGAUAUUAGGAAGAACACCAGUGGCGAAGGCGGCUCACUGGUCCGGUACUGACGCUGAGGUGCGAAAGCGUGGGGAGCGAGUCCGG
rnacentral:rRNA from 1 species